rnacentral:tRNA from 5 species
GGCUACGCCGGGAAUCGUUAACUUUCAAGCCGCCUCUUCUAAAGGUGGGCAAGGCAAAG